AGUGAAUAGAUACCCGGGUAGUCCUAGCCGUAAACGAUACUCGCUAGGUGUCGGCCACGGUGCGACCGUUGUCGGUGCCGUAGGGAAAGCCGUGAAGCGAGCCACCUGGGAAGUACGGCCGCAAGGCUGAAACUUAAAGGAAUUGGCGGGGGAGCACCACAACGGGUGGAGCUUGCGGUUUAAUUGGAUUCAACGCCGGAAAUCUUACCGGGACCGACAGCAAUAUGAAGGCCAGGCUGAAGACUUUGCCGGAUUAGCUGAGAGGUGGUGCAUGGCCGUCGUCAGUUCGUACUGUGAAAGCAUCCUGUUAAGUCAGGCAACGAGCGAGACCCACGCCCACAGUUGCCAGCGUACUCUCCGGAGUGACGGGUACACUGUGGGGACCGCCGCUGCUAAAGCGGAGGAAGGAAUGGGCAACGGUAGGUCAGUAUGCCCCGAAUAUCCCGGGGCUACACGCGAGCUACAAUGGUUGGUACAAUGGGUAUCUACCCCGAAAGGGGAUGGAAAUCUCCUAAAGCCAAUCUUAGUUCGGAUUGAGGGCUGCAACUCGCCCUC
rnacentral:rRNA from 1 species